rnacentral:rRNA from 1 species
ACCCGCUGAACUUAAGCAUAUCAAUAAGCGGAGGAAAAGAAACCAACAGGGAUUGCCCUAGUAACGGCGAGUGAAGCGGCAAGAGCUCAAAUUUGAAAUCUGGCCCCCUUGGGGGUCCGAGUUGUAAUUUGCAGAGGGUGCUUUGGCGUUGGCUGUGGUCUAAGUUCCUUGGAACAGGACGUCGCAGAGGGUGAGAAUCCCGUAUGUGGCCGCCAGCCUCCGCCGUGUAAAGCCCCUUCGACGAGUCGAGUUGUUUGGGAAUGCAGCUCUAAAUGGGAGGUAAAUUUCUUCUAAAGCUAAAUACUGGCCAGAGACCGAUAGCGCACAAGUAGAGUGAUCGAAAGAUGAAAAGCACUUUGGAAAGAGAGUCAAAAAGCACGUGAAAUUGUUGAAAGGGAAGCGCUUGCAGCCAGACUUGCCUGUAGUUGCUCAUCCGGGCUCUUGCCCGGUGCACUCUUCUGCGGGCAGGCCAGCAUCAGUCCGGGCGGUUGGAUAAAUGCCUGCUAAAUGUACCUCUCCUCGGGGAGGACUUAUAGGGCAGGCGGCAUACAACCAGCCUGGACUGAGGUCCGCGCAUCUGCUAGGAUGCUGGCGUAAUGGCUGU